ACGAGAUGCCGUGCCCGUACGAGCGGCGCGACCGAUAAACUGGCGGCGGAGUGCCGGGCGCAGCCCUGUGCGCACUCCGCCAAAGAUCUAGCCAGCAGCCGCUGCAACCCCAGGGAG
rnacentral:sRNA from 1 species